rnacentral:lncRNA from 1 species
UGAAUGAAAUGUUUGCAGUAAUUAUAGAACAAGUGAAGACCAUUCUAUUGAAAAUCUUGAAAACUGAAUGAUUCAUCUUCAUCUAAUCCUCUUCGUCCUCCUCCUCAAUCCUGAUUGUAAUUUGUCAUUGUAUUCUCCGCCAAUGUCAUUAUGUUCUAUCAAUAACAUCUUUUUACAGAAUCUUGUUCCCACAUUCUAUCCUUAUUCAUUACCUUUUUUAUGAUUGACGAAAAGGGGUGAAUAGAAAUAAAACAAGAAGAAGAAACAAAAAUGGAAGAAGGAGAACUUGAAGAAAUUUAAAACAUGGGGAGAAGUAGAAAGAAAAAAUAAAGAUAAAAGAGACAUAUAAAUCAGGGGGUAUAAACACUUAAGCAAGGGGGAGUAUAUAAAAAAAAAAGGACUUAACAAAACAAUGUUGUAACAUAUUCAAUAAGUGUUAAUCAACAUAGGAUAUACAUGAAUAUAUUUUUCAUCAAAAUGUUGAAUAACCAAUGUUGUAUGACUUAUCUAUUUAUCUCUACUUGCUUAUUCUGUGAUAAAUUAUCGUCUUCUUCAACUUUGAUAAAUAUUGAUACAUGACUUUGUUAAAAUGUAACGCACAAACAAAGAACAUGAAUACUAUGUAUUUCUAUUGAACAUGAACAGGCUCUUAAAAUAGUCUUGGAUCAAUUACAAAUGGAAUAACAACUACAAUAAAAACUGAAAACAGAAUUUGAUGGAAUCAAAACAAAAAACACAUCCCCACAGACUAGAAACUAAAUGAUAAAAAACUUAAAGGAAAUUACAAAUAUACC